rnacentral:misc_RNA from 1 species
ACAAAUGGAAAUAUUGUUAAAUAAAUCUUGAGCAGCAAAUAAGAUCAAGGCAAGGAGAAAGCCAAUUCCGAAUCCAAUUAGAAACACAGGCCACAGUUUAAGACGCUAUGAUCUAAUAACAUUAAUUGACUCUCGUUGAACUCGUAAAUGGUUGAUUGCAUUAGAUCAUUCCAAUCAUGAAUUCUGCAUCUUAUAAAUCAUAUUUGUGUCUAAAGGAU